rnacentral:tRNA from 1 species
AGCACAGUGGCUCAGUGGCUAGCACUGUUGCCUCACAGCAAAAAGGUCCAGGGUUCAAAUCCCAGCUGUCCCA